AUGGUCCUGAAUCAAGGCUAGCAGUUUGCUAAAGCUGUUGACUUCAAACAGAAGCCAAAUAAAUGUCUUUCUACGGUCUUUUGACCAUUUCACACUUUUGGAAAUAUAAUGGUUAAUUCAUUAGAGACAUUUGAAA